GGAAAACACACGUGGAUAUAUAUAAAAAGUGACCUACAACUAGCAUCAAACAUCGCUACAAUAGACCGGUCUGCUUACAUAGGGAUCAAUAUCAGUGAGUUUCAACUCUCAGACUCUGGCUGGUUUUGUUGUGGUGCGGCCUACAUCACGGAUCUUAAUAUGAAGAGGUACAACCAAGGAUGUCAUUAUUUAUCAGAUAAUGGGACCACACAUAGACUGCCGCCUUCUAAAAACUAUACUGUUUCAGAGUAUGUGGGGUUUGGUUUAUUAUUGUGUAUUUUGGCGUGGGCCUAUCAUUACCUUCUUUAACAAUUUGAGCUCCUAUCCAAGAUUGAUAACGCUAACAAUUUUCUCGAAAGAACACACCAUGUUGAACCCUAAGCUUGUACCUCUGGAUAACAGCUAGUAUCUACGCAGACUGAAGCACGAAGCAAGCAAAAUCCGCAAUUCCUCGGAAUUCUUAAAAUGGAAAUAAAAUGACAAACUAAAUUUUUCUAAAGAAAAUUGGCUGAAAAAAAAAAGUUUUCAUGAAUGUAUCUAAAAAUGAUCUAGUAC